GCUUUAUCUCUCUAAGUUUCAAGUCAUUAUUUACCAAUUUUUUUUUUUUUUUUAUGUUCCAGCUGAUAACAUCUACUCUGCAGUGAUGCCUCAGACAGUAACAGCUCUGACAGGCUCUUGUGUGGAGAUUCCUUGCACAUUCAACACAUAACCCUAGUCCAGCGGAUUCACCUGAUUUAAGCAAGACUGUGAGGAUCUCUGUCAGAGAUUCACUACAACCUCCUGAACUUAAACCCAAUGAUCUGACAGUGAUGGAGGAAAGUACAGUCAAUCUGAGCUGCUCUGCUGAAGCCCCCUGCCCCAAACAACCUCCUACAAUAUCCUGGUCUAACAUCCCUAAAUCUGACAAAACCCAGUCAGUGUUUUCAUACAUGACCUUCAAAGCUUCAUGCAAAGAUCACAGGAAGAACAUUUCCGGCACUGCUACAUAUCCAAGAAAUAUGCCUAAUGACUCAACAGCAGAGACCUCCGUGAUGUUAUGAGUCCUGUUGCUUCCAACAAAAACACACAUCACCAUCAAUCCACCUACUUCAGUCUCUGUUGGCACUAAUGUGACUUUGACAGCACUGGAUAAAUAUGGCAGUCAGUCAACAGCAGAGAUCCAGUUCACAGCUGAAGGCAUUUCACAUGACAAAGGACAAGAUGGACCAUCUAUGGCCAUGAUUGCUGGUUGUGUAGGAGGAGUUGUGGCAUUGCUCAUGCUCUCUGCUAUUGGAUUUUGUAAUAGGACGAGGACAAAGACACACAGGGGAGACAAUUUUGGGGAAAAGGAUUCCCUAAAUCAGGCACAGGAUGGAAUUGACAGGAAUUACACUUAUGCUAAUGUUCUUACCGUGACCAACCAGGACAACAGGAUCUAUGAUGAUCAAAGUGUGCGUGACUGUAAUAUUGAAUUCAGUACUCAGAUCGACCACAUUACAGAAAAAGAUUCAACAGAAGAAGACAACUAUGAAAAAGGUUCAGAU
ensembl:lncRNA